UACGAAGGGUGCAAACGUUGCUCGGAAUCAUUGGGCGUAAAGCGCACGUAGGCGGCCCGAUAAGUCGGAUGUGAAAUCCCUCGGCUCAACCGAGGACGUGCAUUCGAAACUGUCGGGCUCGAGUAUGGAAGAGGGUCGCGGAAUUCCCGGUGUAGAGGUGAAAUUCGUAGAUAUUGGGAAGAACACCGGUGGCGAAGGCGGCGACCUGGUCCUUGACCGACGCUGAGGCGCGAAAGCGUGGGGAGCAAACAGG
rnacentral:rRNA from 1 species